rnacentral:rRNA from 1 species
AAUCAACGCUGGCGGCGCGCCUAACACAUGCAAGUCGAACGAGAAAGCAGGAGCAAUCUUGUGAGUAAAGUGGCGUACGGGUGAGUAACACGUGGAUCAUCUACCCUCUUGUGGGGGAUAACUCUGGGAAACCGGAGCUAAUACCGCAUAAGUCCGAGAGGAGAAAGCAGCAAUGCGCAGGAGGAGGAGUCCGCGGCCGAUUAGCUAGUUGGUGGGGUAAGAGCCCACCAAGGCAACGAUCGGUAGCCGGCCUGAGAGGGCACACGGCCACACUGGCACUGAAACACGGGCCAGACUCCUACGGGAGGCAGCAGUGGGGAAUCUUGCACAAUGGGGGCAACCCUGAUGCAGCGACGCCGCGUGGGGAUGAC